GAGGAUGAUAUCUAUGACUUUAUCAAAUUAGAUCAUCCUUUAUUGAUAAAAAUAGUGAGAACAGAGCAGUUUACAAGACUAAAGGAAAUUAAAAAGUUAGGCUGUAUAUAUUAUAAUAUACCAAAAGCAAGUUAUUCAAGAUAUGAGCAAAGUAUUGGAAUGUAUUAUUUUGCUGGGAAAUUUGUGAAGACACUCAGAAAAAGACAACCUGAGCUGAAUAUUACUGAUUCUGAUGUUUUGUGUGUACAAAUUGCUGCUCUUUGUUAUAACCUGGGUCAUGGACCUUUCUCUGGUAUUUUUACUAAUUUCUUAAAGGAAAUCAA